rnacentral:lncRNA from 1 species
CGUUUUUUUUUUUUUUUUUAAGUGUUCUAUCGAGAAAAAAUAUUUCUCCCUUUUAAAUAUCCAAAUUUCAAAAUUUGAAAUAAAAAAUAUGACAAAGAUCCUAUUGUACCCUUUUUCUUUAAUACUAUCAUAAGUUAGUCACUAUUUCUGGGCAAGAGCCAUUCCAAAAUUUUCAGGCUUGUUAAUUAAUAUUUGAUUGAUUAAUUACAUAUGUUCAUAUUUUGUAAUAUUCCAAAUUCUUGUUGUUUUUUUUAUUGUUACUGAUAUGACUUUCCCUUUGUAAAGAAAAAUGCAUAUGACUAGUCUAUUAAAUCACAUUAAUCUAUCACCACUUACAGUUUUACAUUGAUCAUAUAUAUCAACUGUAGAUGAAAGCAUGGGUCUAAUUUUUUUAGAAGCAAUAAAUUAAAGAAGGAAAUGGUCUAAGGCUGAUCAGCAGAUUGUACGUCAUACGUAUACUUUAAUAAUUUUAAUGACAGGUUUGCAGUCGUUAGAAUUGCAGUCGGAUUAGUAAUGCUCAUUGGAUAAUUAUUAGAAUUUUGGAGGAAAUAAAUUUAUUAGAAUUUUAAAAUAAUAAAUAUGCAUGGAUACAAAGUAAUAUUUCAUCCUUCCUUGGCAUGUGUAUUUUUGUUUCAAUAGGACAAUUUUUUUUUGGACUUGAAGAAAGGAUUUAGGAUUUGAACUCUGAAGAAAGGUGCAAUAAUAUAUACAUAUACAUAUACAAAUAUAUAGUGGUUGAUUAUCGUGAAAAUUGCAAUUUAAAAUGAAAAUGGAGAAUAUUGUACUAACGUAUAAAGUCACUGCAUUUGCGUGAAAUUACUCAAAAAAAUUAAAAUUUUCGCUUCCUCUAGGAUUUGAACUCAAGUGCCAGAUUCAUCAAUCAAAAUGAUACAUCCUAAAUAUUCAUUAUCGAAGGGCUGAAUUUCCUAAGAGUUUGGGUUUCAGUGAUACAUUAUAAAUUUGCUAUAAAACACUAUAAAUUCAUUGUAAAAAAUUAGGACUUUGAAAAAGAAAAAAAAAAUUGGUACCUCUUGAAUUUGAACCCUAAACUAUGAAUUCAUUUAUUAAAAUUAUAAAUUCAUCGUAAAAUAUUUUCAUAAUUUAGGAAUAAAAAUAAUUUUUAUUUUAUACUAUAUACGCAUGAUCAAUUCAUUUGAACCAUAUACACAAAGUCAUUGUCAAAAUCAAAGACUAAUUGUAAUUAUAAUAAAAUCUUAUCUUUCCAAAGUAUUAUGAGAAUAAAUACGUAACACUAUAUUAAGAUAAUAUUUUAUUUAAAGUUAAACACAAAUAUCCCUUAAAAAAAGGUUAAACACAAAUAUAAAAAUCAAUUAAAGAGAAAAUAAGUAUAUAAAUAAUAUUUGACAUUAAAAAUAUUGGGCUUGGGCUGGGCUUCAAGUGGCCCUUGGCUUGGACCGGGCUUCUACCGAUCUCGGUCCUAGGUCGGACUUACUGGUUUUGAUAAAGGGUGAUUCUAUUCACAGCUUCCAUUUUACUCCUUAUAGCCCUUUUUAAAAUAUUAAUAAUAAUUAAUUAGGAAUUUACUAUUUUACCCUAUUUGAAAUUGAAGAAAUUUCAUAGUCCUCAUCCCCCAUUUGCAUAUUACUAGUUCAUAGCCCCCCAUAAACUUCAAUUUCAUAAACUUAAUAGAAAUCAAUGGGGCCGAGCUUCUCUUUCACCAUCUUCGACAGCUCAAUGUAGCAUUUCUUCACAGUUGUGCAUUCAUACAAGAAAAGGAGAUCUCUGUAAUGCAUAUCGUUUGCCUUGCCGACCAUACUGAUAUAUCACCACCAUAAACGAGUCCUCCCAUUUCAGUAUUCCAUUUUUGUAUAGGAUUCUUUUGUUGCCCUUUUUGCUUACUUAAUGUUUACCGAUGAUUGUAUUGUAUAUUCAAUUAUUGGGAAGAAUAUCUGGUAUUGGGUUUUUCAGUUUUAUUUUCCUCUCUCUUUGAAUUUUUGUGAAGCGCCAAUGAUGAUUGAAGUGGAAUUUAUUAAUGAUUAUGCUAUUACGAACACACUACUGCCUUCCUUCUGAGGCUUUUGCUACCAAGUCAAAUUCGUUUUUUGGGUUACCUUUGUGGUUUUUGGAUCUAUUUUCCCGUAAUUUGUAGAUACAUUUUUUCACAAAAAUUAGUUCUCUUGAUGACCAAGUGUUGUUUAGAUGAAUGAUUCAAAUGCCUAAUUCGUGAUUAUAAAACUCUUCAGUCUUUCGCUUUUUAUCCGAUGACUUUUUAAUUAACAAAUUUUAUUAUUUUUGCGGUAUUUGUGUUUAUUAGCAGAUGAUUAAACAUUUUUCGGAGUCAGCAGAUUGUGUAUGUGUUGAGCCAAUGCAUUGAUCUUUUGUCCAGUUGGAUCCUUGGCCACGAAGUAAUCGUGGUCAAUGGUUGUAUUGAUUAUUUCAUAUGGUUCUCAUAAUUUUGAAUUGAGGGCUAUAUAAUUCUUUCUAGGGUUUAUAUAUAAGGGGCUAUAAAUAUUUUCAGAUUACGAUAGAGGCUAUACGUGUUUAUUCUUUCAGAUUUAUUUAAAAUUAGUUUAAUUUGGAGGCUAUAAAAUGUAGGGUAAAAUAGUAAAUUUCUAAUUAAUUAUUAUUAAUAUUUUAAAAAGGGGGCUAUAAGGAGUAAAACAGGGACUAUAUAUGAAUAGAAUCACCCUUUGAUAAAUGGUCCAAAUAAAGUCCAUUUCAAAUAGUUCGCCCGACACAGCUAAGUUAUCCGCUUCAGUGGGUCAGUCAAUAUCGGAUUUUAGCCGGGUCGGGCUUGCUAGCCCGGCCCAGUUAACAACUCUAGUCUAGAUUUCAAAUGCAUAUUGCGUAUUAAAUUCUGAUAAAGCCAUAAUUAAUUAAUUAUUAAUUAUAGAUUUUAUUCUUGGUGCGAUGCACAGAACAUAUUUUAUUUUUUUUAAAAUUUUAAAUUAUAUGUAAAGUUGUAUGAAGAUUAAGAAACCUAAAAUUAUAUGGAUAAUGUAAUUGUAUAAGGAAUCUAAAAUUAUUAACUUUCAAGUUUUGAUAGCAAGUAUUACUAUAUUUUAUUUUUUUUCAAACCACCUAAUAAUUCUAUCAAACUUUACCCAUUUUCCAUUUCAUAAUUUUGGCUUUUUAAAUAUAAUUUAUAUAAAAGUAUGUAAUGAAAUAUUAGUGGUGGUCCCUAAAAAGAUAAAGGCAGUUAUUUGGGCUACUAAUGAGCAAUUUUUUUUACAUAUAUAAUACUAUCUUCGUUUAUGAAAUAACUUUCUACUUUUUCUAUUUGGGACGUCCACAAAAAAUUCCUUACCUAUUUUUGGACUAUAAUUACAACACUUUCUCACCACUCCCAAAAUGUUCAACAACUUUUUCUCAAUUCUCAAUAUAUUCAAUAUUUUUUUUCUUAAAACUCGUGUCACUACUUUUUAGAAAGUUUUUUCAUGGACGUGAGAGAUUACAUGAUAUUGACAAUUAAUUUUGUUAAUGUAUUAAUUUGAGUUUUGCAUAAAUUAUAACUUUAAUUUUUCUCUAAUUUACAAACUAUUAUUAAAUUAAUUUUAAAUUAAAAGUUACCUUUUCAAUAUGUUAUACCAAAUUAUAGAUUAAGUUGAUCAAUAAUUAUCAUUUAAUACCUAGCUCGCGGCCGGCCGGGCACGAGAGUUUAAUUGGUCACGAUAUAUUUAAUCAGCAAUAUUAAAACUCCUGGUGAAGAUUAAUCGUAUUGCUUAUUUGGAUAUUAGGUAUUGGUUAUAUCCGAAUCGAAUUGAAAUCCGUCGGUCAUUGGGUAAUUGAUACCCAAUAUUUGGCUAAAUGGUUCGGUUAUGGGUAUGAGUAUUGAGAUUUUUUGGUUAUCGGGUAUACCCGUUUAACCGAUUUAAUUAAUUUUUAAAUUAUAAAAUAUAAUUUUAUUAAUAUAAAUAUAUUUAAUUUGAUAUUUAUAAUAUAACUACAACUUUACGUGAAAUGAAAUGUAUCAAUUUAAAAACUAAUAAUUAAAUAAACUUAUGAAUAGUCUAAGUAUAAUAGAAUAAUCAAUAAUAAACUAUUAAACUCUAUUAAAAUAUUAACUCAACUCAAUGAAAUCAUUAACUUGUUCAUCGCAUCAUCACACGAGGAUUGUGAAGGUGAAUAGAUUAAAUAAGUUCUACCAAAUAGCUACAAUUUAACAUAGCUAAAUUUUGUUAAUGGUAUUUCGGUUACCCAUUUAACCGACUCAUAUAACCGUCCCAUUUAACCGAUAACCGAAUACCGUUUGGGUUUGAGUACGGGUAACAUAAAUGCUAAAUUUUGGUACGGUACCCGAAUUUUGGUACGAUUAUCACGUACCGACCGUUCAAUAUCCCCUAACCACAUCAUAUUAAAAAAAGAAUUGAAAAAAAAAGUAAUGAUAUACCAACGACAACGUGCCUAAAAAAAGUGAAAUGAUGUCUACCGCUAUAGCUAUUUUUUUUUAGAAUGCGAUAUCUACCUAUUUUAAAAGAUAAAAUAUAAAAAUACUAAUUUUUACAAAAUAAAUAAUGUUUAGAAUUUUUUUAAUCUUUAUAUGGAGCAUUAUACUCGACUCUAAGUGGUUGAGUAAGUCGAGCAUUAGUACAUUAUUUGUGAAUGCUCAAUCAUUUGAUGUCAGACUAAUGCAUUGUUUCACUGGUAGUUGUCGAACAUAUCGAGCAUUAGUGUAUUUACCACUAAUGUUCAACAUGCUUGUCUCACAGUGAUCGAAUAUUAGUGUAUUUCCGCUAAUUAGCUAGACUUGCAUUGAUAGGGCAUGUCGAGCAAAAUUCAAGAUUCAUGUAAUAUAACACAAUAAAAUGAAAAUUCAAGUUUAUUAAAUAAAGAUAAUUUUAUCCUUCAAUGCGAAAAAUGGAUAGCUUUUAUAAUUUUCUUUUAUAUCAACUAUUUUUUGUCUUUUAAUUUUAAAAUAAGUUAUAGUAAUUAUUAUUAACCCUCCAAAAAAAAGCCGCACAACAACAUAAAUUACAUAAUGAUCGAUGUUUUAUAUGUUUUCUUUCAACAAUAUGCUUAAUAUUGUUUUUUUUUUUUUUUACUUGGGAUAUGCUUAAUAUUGUUGUCCAACAUUAAUAGUUACACGUGCAUAUAUAUCUGAUCCAAAAUCUGACCGAUCGAAUCCAAGAAGAAGAGAAAAGAAUUAGUUUCGAACUUUGAAUCACAACUUCGAAGAAGUAUUUAACCAAACCAAUUUACUAUUAAACCAUGAGAGAUAUUCAUAUAUAAUCAAAAUACAAACACAAAUCUGAAGAAAAGUUCUUUAUUUAAUUUUGGGUAAAGCAAAGUUCAAACAGUACAUUUAUUGAAACUUCAAACAAAAAACAUGAAGCCUACCAAACAAAGGGUAAGGCUAGAAAACAGCCUUAAUGCCAAAGGAUAGAAGUUGCCCUAUAUAGCAAGAAGCACACCAUAUUUAAGAUCAAGCCCAUUGACCAUCAUCCAUCCAUGCAAGCGGUGGUGCAACCGCUUCCGCCGCCGCAACACCGCCGUGCGUUCUUCUCGGUCCGCCGCCACAUUGGCGGCGGAGUACGCUUAUACUCAGCAGCUGGUGCUCUUGAAUUAUGGUGGCAAGAUGAAGAGGGAGUGAUGAAGAAAGAUGGUUUGGAUGUUAUAUAAAGAAUACAUGUUGGUAGUCAUGAGGGCAAUAAAGAAUGAGGUGACUUAAGUAGAAAUUUGUGGUCACUUUUGGUUAAAGGCAAACAAAAAGGGAACAAAAAAACAGAAAUGAAAUAUAGGGUGGCAUUUGUAGCAUCUUCAAGGGAUAUGCCAAUAGCAUAUCUCUAUUGCCCACAUUAUAGAUCUCAAAAUUAUCCAUUUCACCACAACUUUU